UACCCGCAGCUCAAGUGGUGGUCAUUAUUAUUGGGCCUAAAGCGGCCGUAGCUGGCCUGUUAGAUGCCUGGGUAAAUCGAUGCGCUCAACGUAUCGAAUUCCGGGUAGACCGGCAGGCUCGAGACCGGGAGAGGUGUAGGCUACUCGAGGGGUAGGGGUAAAAUCCUGUAAUCCUUCGGGGAGGACCAGUGGCGAAGGCGCUACACUAGAACGGCUCUGACAGUGAGGGACGAAGCCCUGGGGCGCAAACCGG
rnacentral:rRNA from 1 species